rnacentral:rRNA from 1 species
UAUUGGACAAUGGGCGCAAGCCUGAUCCAGCCAUGCCGCGUGGAUGAUGAAGGCCCUAGGGUUGUAAAGUCCUUUCGGCGGGGAAGAUAAUGACGGUACCCGCAGAAGAAGCCACGGCUAACUUCGUGCCAGCAGCCGCGGUAAUACGAAGGGGGCUAGCGUUGCUCGGAAUCACUGGGCGUAAAGCGCACGUAGGCGGACUCUUAAGUCGGUGGUGAAAUCCUGGAGCUCAACUCCAGAACUGCCUUCGAUACUGAGAGUCUCGAGUCCGGGAGAGGUGAGUGGAACUGCGAGUGUAGAGGUGAAAUUCGUAGAUAUUCGCAAGAACACCAGUGGCGAAGGCGGCUCACUGGCCCGGUACUGACGCUGAGUGCGAA